rnacentral:rRNA from 1 species
GACGAACGCUGGCGGCGUGCUUAACACAUGCAAGUCGAACGGAAAGGCCCUGCUUUUGUGGGGUGCUCGAGUGGCGAACGGGUGAGUAACACGUGAGUAACCUGCCCUUGACUUUGGGAUAACUUCAGGAAACUGGGGCUAAUACCGGAUAGGAGCUCCUGCUGCAUGGUGGGGGUUGGAAAGUUUCGGCGGUUGGGGAUGGACUCGCGGCUUAUCAGCUUGUUGGUGGGGUAGUGGCUUACCAAGGCUUUGACGGGUAGCCGGCCUGAGAGGGUGACCGGCCACAAUGGGACUGAGAGACGGCCCAGACUCCUACGGGAGGCAGCAGUGGGGAAUAUUGCACAAUGGGCGGAAGCCUGAUGCAGCAACGCCGCGGGCGGGAUGACGGCCUUCGGGUUGUAAACCGCUUUCGCCUGUGACGAAGCGUGAGUGACGGUAAUGGGUAAAGAAGCACCGGCUAACUACGUG